rnacentral:rRNA from 1 species
CCUACGGGAGGCAGCAGUGGGGAAUAUUGGGCAAUGGGCGCAAGCCUGACCCAGCAACGCCGCGUGAAGGAAGAAGGCUUUCGGGUUGUAAACUUCUUUUCUCAGGGACGAAGCAAGUGACGGUACCUGAGGAAUAAGCCACGGCUAACUACGUGCCAGCAGCCGCGGUAAUACGUAGGUGGCAAGCGUUAUCCGGAUUUACUGGGUGUAAAGGGCGUGUAGGCGGGAAAGCAAGUCAGAUGUGAAAACCAUGGGCUCAACCUGGGGCCUGCGUUUGAAACUGUUUUUCUUGAGUGCUGGAGAGGCAGGCGGAAUUCCUAGUGUAGCGGUGAAAUGCGUAGAUAUGAGGAGGAACACCAGUGGCGAAGGCGGUCUGCUGGACAGCAACUGACGCUGAGGCGCGAAAGCGUGGGGAGCAAACAGGAUUAGAUACCCUUGUAGUC